GGCAUCAUUCGCGGGCUGGAACUCGCAGCUGUCAGUGUUCGGUGCUCGGCUGGCGAACAGUGCGGGUUUAAGUUCAAGGACUAGUGUCAACCUCUUUUGUUUAUUUGCAUUAGGUGAGGGCGUCCAUUUCGCCGACUCGUGCGCAAGCAGUGGGCGGGCGCCGAGCGCGACUCAGUCAGAGACAGGCAUCGCCGCCGCUCGCACGAAUCUGAACGCCGCACAAGCGCUAAACGAACGACAAAAUGGCCACCGGCCCGAAGAUAGUCCACAAGCAGUUCAACUCGCCCAUCGGGCUGUACUCGCAGCAGAACAUCAAGGAGACGCUGGGCAAGCACUUGCAGAACCUCGGCAAUGGCACCGUCGGAAUUGACUUCAACAACCCCGGCACAGACAAGCCCGCCAACCUGGCCAACUCCGCCGUCCUGCGCAUGCUCGAGGAGGAAGAGCGCAACCGAAGAGGCUUACCCAAGCUAGACGAAACCCAAGUGCAAGCGAUAUUGGAGAACAUGGUGUACAUGCGCCAUCCUUUUGACAACAUCUGGCCUCCGGAAGGUUCCACAAAAUCAAGGCACAAAUGGCAGCUGACGUCUGGACAUACUCACUCGGAAUUCGUAAAGGCUACCAAAGGCCAGAAGAAAGUAGUUUGGCCACCGGUGCCUGAAACGAACGGAUACCAUCAAACUCCACAGCAACAGAGUCCUGCGUUCUACAACAACGCGCAGCAAUCCCCGGCGUCCCCUCAGCCCCAAUACCAGGCCCAACCCCAGCCCCAAUACCAGGCCCCACCCCAGCCCCAGCCCCAGUACCAGCAACAACCUGCUUACCAGCAACCCCAGUACCACCAGCAGCCCACCUCCCCCCAGCCCCAGUACCAAGCCCCCGAGUCUGAGCCCUCUUUCUGCGAGGGCAGACGUCAGGAGCCCACUGGGCUGAGCAAGCUGAUCCCGGUCGGUCCCGGUGUUACCGCUCCCUACCGCCCAGGCCCGCCGUCACCCGGCAUCGUGCCGCAGCCCUACCGCCAGCAGCAAAGCCGUUGGGCACCAGUACCAGCCCCUCUUUCCCCUCAGAUCCAAGGCUCGCAGCCAGGCUACCCGGGCGCGCAGUACUCGCCACAGCCGCAGUACUCGCCCUCGUACUCCGAGCCCUCGUACCAGGCCCCACAGAAGCCCUACGAGCCUCCCCCGGCGACCAUCACUCUCCGCCAGCAGCAGCCUGUUCACCAGAAACCUCCCCCGGUGUUCGCUAGUCAACCCGCCACAGCUUCAUUUCAAGGAGGCAUCAACAUGCGUGGAGACCAGAAGUGGCCCCCGCAGUCGGUGAAGGAGGCCGUGGCCGCUGAGAACGAGGCCAGGAGACAGCUGGCCAGAGGUCCUGCCUGCAGACCGCGCAAGCUGCGCCAAUAUACGCUUGCAGAAUUAGUUGGGAUCAACGACGCCUAGGCGUCGGUCCCUCAGUCCGUACGUAGUGUACGUAGGCGGACUUUAAUGCGUCAGGUGUAAACAAGGACUACUCUACCUUCUUCGCGCAGCACGCGCUGUCGCACAACUACCCCGGGUACCGCGCGCCGCCCGGCACGCAGCACUACGACGACAACUCGGGCCGAUCUUCGUACUAAACUAGAUCUUAGUAGUAACUAACAUGCCUAUCACAAGAAUAUACGUCAAGCAAGAAGUCACUUGUAACGCCAACGAAUAUUCUCAAUCAAAUUCAAUUUACUUUGUUGACGACUCGAAUGGAUAAGUGUCUACAACAGAAUGGGGGCAAAACAUUUUGUAGCGUCAACAAAAACACCAUCAUCUCAUCAAGUAGGUAAACAUCAAUCAAUUUAAUUGGUUAGCAUAAAGCGCGGAGAUUUGUAGUACUUGUAUAGACUUUAAGUGUUAAAGUCUUGAGGCAUGUACGGAUCGGUACUUAAUCGUAGGUUUAAUAUAUUUAUAACCAUUAAUUAGAAUUUAAGUAAAUAUAACAUAAAAAAAAACAAAAAAAAAAUUACAUUGUUCGUUCAAUUCAUGUCACUCUAAAACUUUAUACCAUUGUUAUCGUAAUUCUCAUUGUUUUCUGUGUAAAUGUGCGGCUUUAUAUAUUGCGAACGCAUCCGAAAGUUGCUUCUUGUAACUGUAAAUAAUGCUCAAUUACCAAUGUCAUAAACAGACUUUUUUAAUUGGAAAAACCUUGCAAUGAAAUGUAUAUAAACUACAAAAUUAACCUACUCAUAAGAAAGAAGUGUUUAUGAAAUUGGCUAUAGUAAAAUUCAAUGCUUUUGCCAAACUAUAGAUAUGUAUAACAUUAACAAAAUUGGCUGAGCUUACGUACCUACUAGUCAUGAAUACGAUUAUUUUUGUAUAUAAAAUGUUAAAUGCCCUUAUGAUUUGGUAUUUCACUAUAUAAUUAUAUUUUAAAUUAAAUAAAUUAUGUAAAAUGCCA